rnacentral:antisense_RNA from 1 species
GGCAGCCCCAUUGGGCAGCCUGAUACCUGAAUGGACUGUUUUCUUAGCUCUCUUCAGGGAAUUUUGUCGGUUCAAGAAGUCAUACCCCAGCCCAAGAGAAGCCCUGGACAUCUCUCAUAAGACAUCCAAGGGACAGGGCUCCUGGGAGACCUAGGGUGAGCUGGAGAGUGAACAACAGACCCCACUGGGAAGUAAGCAGCCCUGGAUUCUGCCUCUUGCAAACUGAUUCGUUUUGAACCCUGUUUUUCUAUCUGUACAAGGGACUGUAACUCCCCUGCCCCUGCCUAGAUUCUCAUACCUGGAGACUAGGAGGGCUAAGACCCCUUCUAGAGAUAAAAAUAAAAGUCGU